rnacentral:rRNA from 1 species
CCUCGGGAAGGCAGCAGUGAGGAAUAUUGGACAAUGGAGGCAACUCUGAUCCAGCCAUGCCGCGUGCAGGAAGACGGCCCUACGGGUUGUAAACUGCUUUUAUACAGGAAGAAUUGUACCUACGUGUAGGUAUUUGACGGUACUGUAAGAAUAAGGAUCGGCUAACUCCGUGCCAGCAGCCGCGGUAAUACGGAGGAUCCAAGCGUUAUCCGGAAUUAUUGGGUUUAAAGGGUCCGUAGGCGGUUUUUUAAGUCAGAGGUGAAAUCCUGCAGCUCAACUGUAGCAUUGCCUUUGAUACUGAAAGACUUGAGUUAUUGUGAAGUAGUUAGAAUGUGUAGUGUAGCGGUGAAAUGCAUAGAUAUUACACAGAAUACCGAUUGCGAAAGCAGAUUACUAACAAUAUACUGACGCUGAGGGACGAAAGCGUGGGUAGCGAACAGGAUUAGAUACCCUGGUAGUCCACGCCGUAAACGAUGGAUACUAGCUGUUCGAUCAACACUGGUUGAUUGAGUGGUUAAGCGAAAGUGAUAAGUAUCCCACCUGGGGAGUACGCUCGCAAGAGUGAAACUCAAAGGAAUUGACGG